UACGAAGGGGGCUAGCGUUGUUUGGAAUUACUGGGCGUAAAGCGCGUGUAGGUGGUUGUCAUAGUCAGGUGUGAAAGCCUUGAGCUCAACUCAAGAAAUGCACUUGAUACUGGGCGACUAGAGGACCGGAGAGGAUAGUGGAAUUCCCAGUGUAGUGGUGAAAUACGUAGAGAUUGGGAAGAACACCAGUGGCGAAGGCGGCUAUCUGGACGGUUUCUGACGCUAAGACUCGAAAGCGUGGGGAGCAAACAGG
rnacentral:rRNA from 1 species